UACGUAGGGGGCUAGCGUUGCUCGGAAUCACUGGGCGUAAAGGGUGCGUAGGCGGGUCUUUAAGUCAGGGGUGAAAUCCUGGAGCUCAACUCCAGAACUGCCUUUGAUACUGAGGAUCUUGAGUAUGGGAGAGGUGAGUGGAACUGCGAGUGUAGAGGUGAAAUUCGUAGAUAUUCGCAAGAACACCAGUGGCGAAGGCGGCUCACUGGCCCAUUACUGACGCUGAGGCACGAAAGCGUGGGGAGCAAACAGG
rnacentral:rRNA from 1 species